rnacentral:rRNA from 1 species
UGCAAGUCGAGCGGAUGAGAAGAGCUUGCUCUUCGAUUCAGCGGCGGACGGGUGAGUAAUACCUAGGAAUCUGCCUGGUAGUGGGGGACAACGUUUCGAAAGGAACGCUAAUACCGCAUACGUCCUACGGGAAGAAAGCAGGGGGACCUUCGGGCCUUGGCGCUAUCAGAUGACCCUAAGGUCGGUUAUAAGCUAGUUGGUGAGGUAAUGGCUCACCAAGGGCGACGCGAUCCGUAACUGGUCUGAGAGGAUGAUCAGUCACACUGGAACUGAGACACGGUCCAGACUCCUACGGGAGGCAGCAGUGGGGAAUAUUGGACAAUGGGCGAAAGCCUGAUCCAGCCAUGCCGCGUGUGUGAAGAAGGUCUUCGGAUUGUAAAGCACUUUAAGUUGGGAGGAAGGGUACUUACCUAAUACGUGAGUAUUUUGACGUUACCGACAGAAUAAGCACCGGCUAACUCUGUGCCAGCAGCCGCGGUAAUACGGAGGGUGCAAGCGUA